CAGCCGCCGCGGGAACACGGAGGGUGCAAGCGUUAAUCGGAAUUACUGGGCGUAAAGCGUGCGUAGGUGGUGGUUUAAGUCCGUUGUGAAAGCCCUGGGCUCAACCUGGGAAUUGCAGUGGAUACUGGGUCACUAGAGUGUGGUAGAGGAUAGUGGAAUUUCCGGUGUAGCAGUGAAAUGCGUAGAGAUCGGAAGGAACAUCUGUGGCGAAGGCGACUAUCUGGGCCAACACUGACACUGAGGCACGAAAGCGUGGGGAGCAAACAGGAUUAGAUACCCCUGUAGUCCCUGUCUCUUAUAC
rnacentral:rRNA from 1 species